rnacentral:rRNA from 4 species
UACGUAGGGGGCUAGCGUUAUCCGGAUUUACUGGGCGUAAAGGGUGCGUAGGUGGUCCUUCAAGUCGGUGGUUAAAGGCUACGGCUCAACCGUAGUAAGCCGCCGAAACUGGAGGACUUGAGUGCAGGAGAGGAAAGUGGAAUUCCCAGUGUAGCGGUGAAAUGCGUAGAUAUUGGGAGGAACACCAGUAGCGAAGGCGGCUUUCUGGACUGCAACUGACACUGAGGCACGAAAGCGUGGGUAGCAAACAGG